rnacentral:rRNA from 1 species
CUUGAACGCUGGCGGCAGGCCUAACACAUGCAAGUCGAGCGGCAGCGGAAAGUAGCUUGCUCCUUUGCCGGCGAGCGGCGGACGGGUGAGUAAUGUCUGGGAAACUGCCUGAUGGAGGGGGAUAACUACUGGAAACGGUAGCUAAUACCGCAUAACGUCGCAAGACCAAAGAGGGGGACCUUCGGGCCUCUUGCCAUCAGAUGUGCCCAGAUGGGAUUAGCUAGUAGGUGGGGUAACGGCUCACCUAGGCGACGAUCCCUAGCUGGUCUGAGAGGAUGACCAGCCACACUGGAACUGAGACACGGUCCAGACUCCUACGGGAGGCAGCAGUGGGGAAUAUUGCACAAUGGGCGCAAGCCUGAUGCAGCCAUGCCGCGUGUAUGAAGAAGGCCUUCGGGUUGUAAAGUACUUUCAGCGGGGAGGAAGGUGUUGAGGUUAAUAACCUCAGCAAUUGACGUUACCCGCAGAAGAAGCACCGGCUAACUCCGUG